rnacentral:rRNA from 1 species
CACGUAGGGCGCAAGCGUUGUCCGGAAUUAUUGGGCGUAAAGAGCUCGUAGGCGGUCUGUUGCGUCCGCUGUGAAAACUCGGGGCUUAACCCCGAGCCUGCAGUGGAUACGGGCAGACUAGAGGUAGGUAGGGGAGAAUGGAAUUCCCGGUGUAGCGGUGAAAUGCGUAGAUAUCAGUCGGAACACCGGUGGCGAAGGCGGCUUCUUGGGCCGUUUCUGACGCUGAGGCGCGAAAGCCAGGGGAGCGAACGGG